UACGGAGGGGGCGAGCGUUAUUCGGAAUUAUUGGGCGUAAAGAGCGCGCAGGCGGCUCGAUAAGUCGGUUGUGAAAUCCCAGGGCUCAACUCUGGAACUGCGAUGGAGACUGUCGAUCUUGAGUACGGGGAGAGGGGAGCGGAAUUCCUGGUGUAGAGGUGAAAUUCGUAGAUAUCAGGAGGAACACCGGUGGCGAAAGCGGCUCCCUGGCCCGAUACUGACGCUCAUGUACGAAAAGCGUGGGGGAGCAAACAGG
rnacentral:rRNA from 1 species